rnacentral:rRNA from 1 species
UACGAAGGGGGCUAGCGUUGCUCGGAAUGACUGGGCGUAAAGGGCGCUUAGGCGGGCUGCACAGUCAGGCGUGAAAUUCCUGGGCUUAACCUGGGGACUGCGUCUGAGACGUGUGAUCUAGAGUGAGGAAGAGGGUCGUGGAAUUUCCAGUGUAGAGGUGAAAUUCGUAUAUAUUGGAAAGAACACCGGUGGCGAAGGCGCCGACCUGGUCCUUGACUGACGCUGAGGCGUGAAAGCGUGGGGAGCAAACAGG